CGGCCCAAGGUGUAAUGGCUUGCAUGAGGCGUUUGGAUCGCCGGGGUUCCCUGUUCGACUCGGGGUGGGCCGAC
rnacentral:tRNA from 3 species